rnacentral:rRNA from 14 species
GUAACAGCUCAAAUUUGAAAGCUAGCUCUUUUAGGGUUCGCAUUGUAAUUUGUAGAAGAUGCUUCGGGUGUGGCCCCGGUCUAAGUUCCUUGGAACAGGACGUCAUAGAGGGUGAGAAUCCCGUAUGGGAUGGGGUGUCCGCGCCCGUGUGAAGCUCCUUCGACGAGUCGAGUUGUUUGGGAAUGCAGCUCAAAAUGGGAGGUAAAUUUCUUCUAAAGCUAAAUACUGGCCAGAGACCGAUAGCGCACAAGUAGAGUGAUCGAAAGAUGAAAAGCACUUUGGAAAGAGAGUUAAAAAGCACGUGAAAUUGUUGAAAGGGAAGCGCUUGCAAUCAGACUUGUUUAAACUGUUCGGCCGGUCUUCUGACCGGUUUACUCAGUUUGGACAGGCCAGCAUCAGUUUCGGCGGCCGGAUAAAGGCUCUGGGAAUGUGGCCUCCACUUCGGUGGAGGUGUUAUAGCCCAGGGUGUAAUACGGCCAGCCGGGACUGAGGUCCGCGCUUCGGCUAGGAUGCUGGCGUAAUGGUUGUAAGCGACCCGUCUUGGAACACGGACCAAGGAGUCUAACAUAUGUGCGAGUUCACGGGUGUUAAACCUGAAUGCGCAAUGAAAGUGACUGCUGGGAUUUUUGCACCAGCAACCGACCAAUCAAUUGUGAGAGGUUUGAGUAUGAGCAUAUCUGUUAGGACCCGAAAGAUGGUGAACUAUGCCUGAAUAGGGCGAAGCCAGGGGAAACUCUGGUGGAGGCUCGUAGCG